UACGUAGGGUGCGAGCGUUAAUCGGAAUUACUGGGCGUAAAGCGUGCGCAGGCGGUUUUGUAAGACAGAUGUGAAAUCCCCGGGCUCAACCUGGGAACUGCAUUUGUGACUGCAUCGCUGGAGUGCGGCAGAGGGGGAUGGAAUUCCGCGUGUAGCAGUGAAAUGCGUAGAUAUGCGGAGGAACACCGAUGGCGAAGGCAAUCCCCUGGGCCUGCACUGACGCUCACGCACGAAAGCGUGGGGAGCAAACAGG
rnacentral:rRNA from 1 species